GAUGAACGCUGGCUACAGGCUUAACACAUGCAAGUCGAGGGGAAACGACGGGGAAGCUUGCUUCCCCGGGCGUCGACCGGCGCACGGGUGAGUAACGCGUAUCCAACCUGCCUCUGACUGAGGGAUAACCCGUCGAAAGUCGGCCUAAUACCUCAUGGUAUCGUCUGCGGGCAUCCAACGACGAUUAAAGAUUUCAUCGGUCAGGGAUGGGGAUGCGUCUGAUUAGCUUGUUGGCGGGGUAACGGCCCACCAAGGCUACGAUCAGUAGGGGUUCUGAGAGGAAGGUCCCCCACAUUGGAACGGAGACACGGUCCAAACUCCUACGGGAGGCAGCAGUGAGGAAUAUUGGUCAAUGGGCGAGAGCCUGAACCAGCCAAGUAGCGUGCAGGAAGACGGCCCUAUGGGUUGUAAACUGCUUUUAUGCGGGGAUAAAGUGAGGGACGUGUCCCUCAUUGCAGGUACCGCAUGAAUAAGGACCGGCUAAUUCCGU
rnacentral:rRNA from 1 species